rnacentral:rRNA from 1 species
UCGGGAUAACACCUGGAAACAGAUGCUAAUACCGGAUAACAACAGAUGAUGCCUAUCAACUGUUUAAAAGAUGGUUCUGCUAUCACUCUUGGAUGGACCUGCGGUGCAUUAGCUAGUUGGUAGGGUAACGGCCUACCAAGGCGAUGAUGCAUAGCCGAGUUGAGAGACUGAUCGGCCACAUUGGGACUGAGACACGGCCCAAACUCCUACGGGAGGCAGCAGGC